AUUGAACGCUGGCGGCAUGCCUAACACAUGCAAGUCGAACGAGUGGCGGACGGGUGAGUAAUGUCUGGGCAACUGCCUGAUGGAGGGGGCUAACUACUGUAAACGGUAGCUAAUACUGCAUACCACCAUAUGUACCCAGACGGGAGUAGAUUGUUGGUGUGGUAACGGCUCACAAAGGCGACGAUCCCUAGCUGGUCUGAGAGGAUGACCAGCCACACUGGAACUGAGACACGGACCAGACUCCUACGGGAGGCAGCAGUGGGGAAGAUUGGACAAUGGACGAAAGCCUGAUGCAGCAAUGCCGCGUGUGUGAAGAAGGCCUUCGGGUUGUAAAGUACUUUCAGCAGGGAGGCGGUACCCGAAGAGGAAGCACCGGCUAACUCCGUGCCAGCAGCCGCGGUAAUUC
rnacentral:rRNA from 1 species